rnacentral:rRNA from 1 species
UAGGGAAUCUUCGGCAAUGGACGAAAGCCUGACCGAGCAACGCCGCGUGAGUGAAGAAGGUUUUCGGAUCGUAAAACUCUGUUGUUAGAGAAGAACAAGGACGUUAGUAACUGAACGUCCCCUGACGGUAUCUAACCAGAAAGCCACGGCUAACUACGUGCCAGCAGCCGCGGUAAUACGUAGGUGGCAAGCGUUGUCCGGAUUUAUUGGGCGUAAAGCGAGCGCAGGCGGUUUCUUAAGUCUGAUGUGAAAGCCCCCGGCUCAACCGGGGAGGGUCAUUGGAAACUGGGAGACUUGAGUGCAGAGGAGGAGAGUGGAAUUCCAUGUGUAGCGGUGAAAUGCGUAGAUAUAUGGAGGAACACCAGUGGCGAAGGCGGCUCUCUGGUCUGUAACUGACGCUGAGGUUCGAAAGCGUGGGGAGCAAACAGG